CUUUUACAAUGAAGAGUUUGAUCCUGGCUCAGGAUGAACGCUAGCUACAGGCUUAACACAUGCAAGUCGAGGGGCAGCAUUUCAGUUUGCUUGCAAACUGGAGAUGGCGACCGGCGCACGGGUGAGUAACACGUAUCCAACCUGCCGAUAACUCGGGGAUAGCCUUUCGAAAGAAAGAUUAAUACCCGAUGGUAUAAUCAGACCGCAUGGUCUUGUUAUUAAAGAAUUUCGGUUAUCGAUGGGGAUGCGUUCCAUUAGGCAGUUGGUGAGGUAACGGCUCACCAAACCUUCGAUGGAUAGGGGUUCUGAGAGGAAGGUCCCCCACAUUGGAACUGAGACACGGUCCAAACUCCUACGGGAGGCAGCAGUGAGGAAUAUUGGUCAAUGGGCGCAGGCCUGAACCAGCCAAGUAGCGUGAAGGAUGACUGCCCUAUGGGUUGUAAACUUCUUUUAUAUGGGAAUAAAGUUUUCCACGUGUGGAAUUUUGUAUGUACCAUAUGAAUAAGGAUCGGCUAACUCCGUGCCAGCAGCCGCGGUAAUACGGAGGAUCCGAGCGUUAUCCGGAUUUAUUGGGUUUAAAGGGAGCGUAGGUGGACAGUUAAGUCAGUUGUGAAAGUUUGCGGCUCAACCGUAAAAUUGCAGUUGAUACUGGCUGUCUUGAGUACAGUAGAGGUGGGCGGAAUUCGUGGUGUAGCGGUGAAAUGCUUAGAUAUCACGAAGAACUCCGAUUGCGAAGGCAGCUCACUGGACUGCAACUGACACUGAUGCUCGAAAGUGUGGGUAUCAAACAGGAUUAGAUACCCUGGUAGUCCACACAGUAAACGAUGAAUACUCGCUGUUUGCGAUAUACAGUAAGCGGCCAAGCGAAAGCAUUAAGUAUUCCACCUGGGGAGUACGCCGGCAACGGUGAAACUCAAAGGAAUUGACGGGGGCCCGCACAAGCGGAGGAACAUGUGGUUUAAUUCGAUGAUACGCGAGGAACCUUACCCGGGCUUAAAUUGCAUUUGAAUAUAUUGGAAACAGUAUAGUCGUAAGACAAAUGUGAAGGUGCUGCAUGGUUGUCGUCAGCUCGUGCCGUGAGGUGUCGGCUUAAGUGCCAUAACGAGCGCAACCCUUAUCUUUAGUUACUAACAGGUCAUGCUGAGGACUCUAGAGAGACUGCCGUCGUAAGAUGUGAGGAAGGUGGGGAUGACGUCAAAUCAGCACGGCCCUUACGUCCGGGGCUACACACGUGUUACAAUGGGGGGUACAGAAGGCAGCUACCUGGUGACAGGAUGCUAAUCCCAAAAGCCUCUCUCAGUUCGGAUCGAAGUCUGCAACCCGACUUCGUGAAGCUGGAUUCGCUAGUAAUCGCGCAUCAGCCAUGGCGCGGUGAAUACGUUCCCGGGCCUUGUACACACCGCCCGUCAAGCCAUGAAAGCCGGGGGUACCUGAAGUACGUAACCGCAAGGAGCGUCCUAGGGUAAAACUGGUAAUUGGGGCUAAGUCGUAACAAGGUAGCCGUACCGGAAGGUGCGGCUGGAACACCUCCUUU
rnacentral:rRNA from 1 species